rnacentral:rRNA from 1 species
CCUACGGGAGGCAGCAGUGGGGAAUUUUCCGCAAUGGGCGAAAGCCUGACGGAGCAAUACCGCGUGAGGGAGGAAGGCUCUUGGGUUGUAAACCUCUUUUUUCAGGGAAGAUAAUGGCGGUACCUGAGGAAUAAGCAUCGGCUAACUCCGUGCCAGCAGCCGCGGUAAUACGGAGGAUGCAAGCGUUAUCCGGAAUGAUUGGGCGUAAAGCGUCCGCAGGUGGUUUUAAAAGUCUGUUGUUAAAGCGUGAGGCUUAACCUCAUAAGGGCAAUGGAAACUGUAAGACUAGAGUACGUUCGGGGCAAGGGGAAUUCCCAGUGUAGCGGUGAAAUGCGUAGAGAUUGGGAAGAACACCGGUGGCGAAAGCGCCUUGCUAGGCCGUAACUGACACUGAGGGACGAAAGCUAGGGGAGCGAAUGGGAUUAGAUACCCCAGUAGUCCUAGCCGUAAACGAUGGAUACUAGGCGUUGUCUGUAUCGACCCGGACAGUGCCGUAGCUAACGCGUUAAGUAUCCCGCCUGGGGAGUACGCACGCAAGUGUGAAACUCAAGGAAUUGACGGNNGAGANGCGACGCGACACGAGGAGAG